rnacentral:rRNA from 1 species
CCUACGGGAGGCAGCAGUCGAGAAUCAUUCACAAUGGGGGAAACCCUGAUGGUGCGACGCCGCGUGGGGGAAUGAAGGUCUUCGGAUUGUAAACCCCUGUCAUGUGGGAGCAAAUUAAAAAGAUAGUACCACAAGAGGAAGAGACGGCUAACUCUGUGCCAGCAGCCGCGGUAAUACAGAGGUCUCAAGCGUUGUUCGGAAUCACUGGGCGUAAAGCGUGCGUAGGCUGUUUCGUAAGUCGUGUGUGAAAGGCGCGGACUCAACCCGCGGACGGCACAUGAUACUGCGAGACUAGAGUAAUGGAGGGGGAACCGGAAUUCUCGGUGUAGCAGGGAAAUGCGUAGAUAUCGAGAGGAACACUCGUGGCGAAGGCGGGUUCCUGGACAUUAACUGACGCUGAGGCACGAAGGCCAGGGGAGCGAAAGGGAUUAGAUACCCGUGUAGUC